rnacentral:rRNA from 1 species
AACGAACGCUGGCGGCAUGCUUAACACAUGCAAGUUGAACGCAGAAUAGGGCUUCGGCUCUAUUGCUGAGUAGCAAACGGGUGAGUAACGCGUGGGAAUCUACCUUCUUGUGGGGGAUAACUAAGGGAAACUUUAGCUAAUACCGCAUACGCUCUACGGAGGAAAGGCUUCGGCCGCAAGAAGAGGAGCCCGCGUCAGAUUAGGUAGUUGGUGGGGUAAAAGCCUACCAAGCCAAUGAUCUGUAGCUGGUCUGAGAGGAUGAUCAGCCACACUGGGACUGAAACACGGCCCAGACUCCUACGGGAGGCAGCAGUGGGGAAUAUUGGACAAUGAGGGAAACCCUGAUCCAGCAAUGCCGCGUGAAUGAAGAAGGCCUUAGGGUUGUAAAGUUCUUUCACCUGUGAAGAUAAUGACGGUAGCAGGAGAAGAAGCCCCGGCUAACUCCGUGCCAGCCGCCGCCGUAA